CCCGUGUUUUUCCUUCAGUCAAGCAAUUAGAACAGUAGCAUAGAAAAAUACCAUCUGCUACUGGGAAGUAGACGCAGCCACAGUUCAGAACUUGACCACCGCCUAACCAAAGCCAAUUAAAACAAAACUGAUGGAAACUGACCUCGAACCAAACCAAAAAUGGCCACUCUAAUUCCAAGCCAAAAUCGGACUUUUGCAUUUAAAAAUAUUCGUGCAGCAAAAGCUGUUGAUAUC
rnacentral:misc_RNA from 1 species